AUGGAUUCAAAAGAGGCAAGAAGAAAUAGUUAUUCAUUUCCUCUUUGUUUUAUUCUGCCUAAAGAUGGAGAACGUUGCCAAAAUACUCAAGAUAUCUUCCACCCCUUAAAGUACCGGGGCUCAAACUCAGAACCUCAUGCAAAGGCAGGCACUGUGAUGUGGAGCUACAUACCCAGCCCAAAACACGCUAUUUUAUAACAGCAGUUUUCUGACUUAUUUCAAAGUACUUUUCCUCCAAAGGAAAAGUGUCUU
rnacentral:lncRNA from 1 species